CGAAAAUUUUAUUCUUGUUUAAAUACUUGUUAGUAACUGAUUUUAUAUGCAAAUUUUUGUGUAUUAGUAUAUAUAUAUUUUAGAAAGAAUAUAAUUAUAUUUGCAGUAAUGAAUAUUAUUUAUAAAUUUAAAUUUGAGAUAGUUAUUUUAUUGAAAGUAUUGAUUAAAUAUGUGCCAGCAGUCGCGGUUAUACAUAAAAUGUAAAUAAGUAUAAAUAGUUAUUUUAGUUAAUAGUAUAAAAAUGAUUUAUUUUGUUAAUUUUUAAGUGAAAUUUAAAUUUUUAUGUUGAAUCAUUAAAGGUAAUAUGAAGCUAUAAAAUUUAAUUUAUUAAACUAGGAUUAGAUACCCUAUUAUUUUGAAUUUAAGUAUUUAAACUUAAGUAGUAAUAGUUAUGUUCUUGAAACUUAAAGAAUUUGGCGGUAUUUUAGUCUAUUUAGAGGAAUCUGUCCCAUAAUUGAUAGUCCACGUUGAACCUUACUUGUUUUAUGGUAUGUAUACCGCCGUAUAUUGAAAAUCUUUUUAGGGAAAUUUUCUUGAAACUUAUUACUUUUGUAAUAUUUCAGGUCAAGGUGCAGCUAAUAAAUAAGUGGAGAUGGAUUACAAUAUUGUAAAAUUUAUGAAUUAUUAAUUGUAAUAUUAAUAUGAAGGUGGAUUUAAUAGUAAUUUUAUAAAGAUUUUUAUUUUGAUUUAAAGCUCUAAAAUGUGUACAUAUCGCCCGUCACUCUCGUUAAUAAGAUGAGAUAAGUCGUAACAAAGUAGUUGUACCGGAAGGUGUGGCUAGAAUAAUAU
rnacentral:ncRNA from 1 species